rnacentral:rRNA from 1 species
CCUUAGAGUUUGAUCCUGGCUCAGGAUGAACGCUAGCUACAGGCUUAACACAUGCAAGUCGAGGGGCAGCGGGAUUGAAGCUUGCUUCGAUUGCCGGCGACCGGCGCACGGGUGAGUAACGCGUAUCCAACCUUCCGUACACUCAGGGAUAGCCUUUCGAAAGAAAGAUUAAUACCUGAUGGUAUGAUGAGAUUGCAUGAUAGCAUCAUUAAAGAUUUAUCGGUGUACGAUGGGGAUGCGUUCCAUUAGGUAGUAGGCGGGGUAACGGCCCACCUAGCCAACGAUGGAUAGGGGUUCUGAGAGGAAGGUCCCCCACAUUGGGACUGAGACACGGCCCAGACUCCUACGGGAGGCAGCAGUGGGGGAUAUUGCACAAUGGGGGAAACCCUGAUGCAGCGACGCCGCGUGGAGGAAGAAGGUUUUCGGAUUGUAAACUCCUGUCGUUAGGGACGAUAAUGACGGUACCUAACAAGAAAGCACCGGCUAACUACGUGCCAGCAGCCGCGGUAAAACGUAGGGUGCAAGCGUUGUCCGGAAUUACUGGGUGUAAAGGGAGCGCAGGCGGGAAGACAAGUUGGAAGUGAAAACCAUGGGCUCAACCCAUGAAUUGCUUUCAAAACUGUUUUUCUUGAGUAGUGCAGAGGUAGAUGGAAUUCCCGGUGUAGCGGUGGAAUGCGUAGAUAUCGGGAGGAACACCAGUGGCGAAGGCGGUCUACUGGGCACCAACUGACGCUGAGGCUCGAAAGCAUGGGUAGCAAACAGGAUUAGAUACCCUGGUAGUCCAUGCCGUAAACGAUGAUUACUAGGUGUUGGGGGAUUGACCCCCUCAGUGCCGCAGUUAACACAAUAAGUAAUCCACCUGGGGAGUACGACCGCAAG